GGGCCCGUAGCUCAACGGCGGAGCAGGGGACUCAUAAUCCCUUGGUUGUAGGUUCGAAUCCUACCGGGCCCACCA
rnacentral:tRNA from 2 species